UGCAGGACUAAGAAAAUAAAGGUCUGUGAUCAAAGCCACCAAUCCGUCACAAUAGUACUGCAGAAGCUCUGCUCGUAUUUCUUUCAGCCCUGCCGGUCCCGAGAGGAGCCACUACACUUGCUUGCUGGCUGACAGCUGGAGGGUCAACGGGACAAGCAGGCGGCUUCAGCGCCUGGCUUUCAGAUGUCCAUGAGGGGAGGGAUCUUUGUCUUUUCACUGUUCUGGACUCAGAAGUAGAACCGUGCCUGGCACUGUGAUGCAGAUGGAUCAGCUGAGGUACCGGAAGAAACCGCCUAUUUUGCGCCACGUGGAGAAAAUCACGAAGAAUGAGAAGACACGGUGAGAAGAGGUCCCGUGACCUUCACGAUUAAAAAAACUAACAAAACAACAAUGAAGACAAAAUCAA